rnacentral:rRNA from 1 species
AGAGUUUGAUCAUGGCUCAGAUUGAACGCUGGCGGCAUGCUUUACACAUGCAAGUCGAACGCGAAAGGGGGCAACCCUGAGUAGAGUGGCGCACGGGUGAGUAAUGCAUCGGAACGUGUCCUGUAGCGGGGGAUAACUUAGCGAAAGCUAAGCUAAUACCGCAUACGUCCUACGGGAGAAAGUGGGGGAUUCGCAAGAACCUCACACUAUAGGAGCGGCCGAUGCCGGAUUAGCUAGUUGGUGGGGUAAAGGCUCACCAAGGCGACGAUCCGUAGCUGGUCUGAGAGGAUGAUCAGCCACACUGGGACUGAGACACGGCCCAGACUCCUACGGGAGGCAGCAGUGGGGAAUUUUGGACAAUGGGGGCAACCCUGAUCCAGCCAUGCCGCGUGAGUGAAGAAGGCCUUCGGGUUGUAAAGCUCUUUCGGCCGGGACGAAAUCGCAUGGGUGAAUAUCCUGUGUGGAUGACGGUACCGGAAGAAGAAGCACCGGCUAACUACGUGCCAGCAGCCGCGGUAAUACGUAGGGUGCGAGCGUUAAUCGGAAUUACUGGGCGUAAAGCGUGCGCAGGCGGUUUUGUAAGCCAGAUGUGAAAUCCCCGGGCUCAACCUGGGAACUGCAUUUGGGACUGCAAGGCUUGAGUACGGCAGAGGGGGGUAGAAUUCCUGGUGUAGCAGUGAAAUGCGUAGAUAUCAGGAGGAAUACCGAUGGCGAAGGCAGCCCCCUGGGUCGAUACUGACGCUCAUGCACGAAAGCGUGGGGAGCAAACAGGAUUAGAUACCCUAGUAGUCC